rnacentral:rRNA from 1 species
UACGGAGGGUGCAAACGUUGCUCGGAAUCAUUGGGCGUAAAGCGCACGUAGGCGGCCUGUUAAGUCGGAUGUGAAAGCCCCGGGCUCAACCCGGGAAGUGCAUUCGAAACUGGCGGGCUUGAAUAUGGAAGAGGGUCGCGGAAUUCCCGGUGUAGAGGUGAAAUUCGUAGAUAUCGGGAGGAACACCAGUGGCGAAGGCGGCGACCUGGGCCAAUAUUGAGCGCUGAGGAGCGAA